GGGACAUAGUGUCUGUAAAUUGUGUCUUUUUAAUUAAAUAUAAUUCGAUUUGUAUCAAGUAGAUACAUCGAUAGGACACAGUGUCUGUAAAUUGUUCCUUUUUAGUAUUUUUGAUUUGUUUCAAGUAGAUACAUCAGAUACAUAGUGUACAGGUCUAGUGGCUUUCGAAGCGUUCCGUAAAUUGUAUAAUUAUGAUAUCAUUUGGCCACCACUUUUAGAAACACUUAAGACACUUUUAUUGCAUGUAACUAUAUUUAUUGCUUAUAUAUCACUUGAAACAAAUUAAAAGGGUUUAUAGGACAGCUAACUGUUAUCCGUAAGGAAAGAUCAUGUUGCAAAAUUUUGCUAAUAUUGUUAUCUCAUUCUCAAAAACGGAUCAAUGUUGCCAUGGUACAUGUAUAGAAAUAACAGAAACUAAACUAAAAUAUUGUUAAAAGUAUGAAAUGCAAAGACCAAAUGUUAAAGUUCCCUUAUUCUCUGUCUUUGGUGACAAGUACCAGUGUUCAUGUGUCCUAAGUUUUAAAGGUUUGAAUACAUGUAGGAAUAAUGGAUUCAGUUUCAAUUUGAAUCAAAGAUAUGGUAAAAACCAAUAAGCACGAAUUAAGCAGCCACAAGAAUGUACACCUUUGCCGCUUAGCUAUGUAUACAAUUGGGAGGUUGUUACAUAAAAUAGCCUGAAAAAUAUAAUACGCCCGGUAUAUUCACAUCUGACGGCGUUACUUUAUCUCAUGUGGGCAAUUGUUUUUCUUAUUUCAUUACAGGGUAAUUUAGAUAUAAAUAUAUGUGUGGUCAUUUAAAAGUACGGUCACGGCGGGUGUGUUGUGUCGCUACCGCAUUGGUGGCGGUGGUCGAACUAAGUGUCCAAUAACUCUUGGAAUAGCCACUGAAUUCGACCAUGUGGCGAAAAUAGCGACACAACAUCUACAAAUAUAUUAUGCUUCUUAUAAUGGAAUUAUGUAUCCGCUGAGCUUCUGUUUCCCAGGGCCAGCAUCCGAUAUAUUUUGGAAGCAAUAAUGUUAAUAAGGAUAUUAUAUUGAUAUAUAAGGAAAUGACAUUAUAAGGAAUAACAAUAAGGUGGAAAUAAGGAAUAAGAAUAAUGUGGAAAUAAGGAAUAAGGAAUGGACAAUAAUGUUUAAUUAUAUAUACUAGGGACUUGCCAAUUAUGUUUCUCGGCAGUCCCAUUCUUUGUCAAGCCGUGGCCGUACAAUUUUGUACUUUUGCCAAAUAAAUAUUUCUUACUUUAUAUGUGUAUGUCAUUUGGCCCCACGUUGUCUCAGAUAAUAAGAUUUAUUCCUAUGAAGAAUAAAUCCGGUUAUCGGAGGAAAGUGGGCUUACGUUUUGGGAGUUGUCCCGCUUUGCACACGUGGUGGAACUUGUUAUGUAUUAUGAGUCACGUUAAUUAUUUUAACCUUGAUAACUGUGACGUCAUCAUUCUUUCUUUACCACGUACGAUACAGCAGAGGGAAGACGCAAAAAAUUGGGUUCCGUAUGAAUGAACUAAUGUUUGUUUCAAAAGUUACCCACCCACCCACCACUUAGAUUAAA